AUAAGUAUCGUCAAAUAUAUUCGCUAUGUUUUUGUUUUUUCAUUGUAUAUGUUACGAAUGAGGAUCGUAAUGUUAUCUAAUUGGAUAAUUGUAAUUAUCAAUAAUAAUCGAAACAUUUUCGUAUUCAAUGUGUAUCGCAUCAAUAAGGAUCGCGAUAUAAUCGUUAUUGAUGCGAAUGUGUAAAUUUUGAGUAAUCAGUUUAAAACUUAAUCGGGGAUAAUUCCUUCGAAUUGGUGCAUUUGGUUUCAUGAUUGUAACCUAUUAUAAUAUAAACAUUUUUGUAAUCAAUGUUCAUCGUUAUCAUAAAUGAUAACGAUAUUAUCGUAUGUGAUGUACCUGUUUGCAUUUCGAGUAAUCUGUUCAAAAUGCUGGCGAGUGACCACACCAUCUAAUAUGACGUUAAGUGCUCACGGGUGGAAGGAGGGAAUCGAAAAUUUUAAAUCAAUUUAAUUACCGAAAUCAGACAGACACUAAAAGGUGUUGAAAUUUUCUUCAUGGACUUAUAAUAUUCAUGCUUAUAUAUUACAUUAUAUUCAUGCUCUUAUCCAAUAAGUAUCGUCAAAUAUAUUCGCUAUGUUUUUGAUUUUUCAUUGUAUAUGUUACAAAUGAGGACCGUAAUGUUAUCUAAUUGGAUAAUUGUUAUUAUCAAUAAUAAUCCAAACGUUUUCGUAUUCAAUGUGUAUCUCAUCAAUAAGGAUUGCGAUAUAAUCGUUAUUGAUGCGUCUGUGUAAAUUUUGAGUAAUCAGUUUAAAACAGAAUCGGGGAUAAUUCCUACGAAUUGGUGCAUUUGGUUUCAUGAUUGUAACCUAUUAUAAUCUAAACAUUUUCAUAUUCAAUUUUCAUCGCUAUCAUUAAUGAUCACGAUAUUUUCGUAUUUGAUGUACCUGUUUGCAUUUUGAGUAAUCUGUUCAAAAUGCUGUUUAGUGACCCCACCAUCUAAUAUGACGUGAUGUGCUCACGGGUGGAGGGAGGGAAUCGAAAAUUUUGUAUCAAUUUAAUUACCGAUAUCAGACAGACACUUAAAGGUGUUAAAAUUUUCAUGGACUUACAAUAUUCAUGCUUAUAUGUUACAUUAUAUUCAUGCUCAUAUUCAAUAAGUAUCGUCAAAUAUACUCGCUAUGUUUUUGAUUUUUCAUUGUAUAUGUUACAAAUGAGGACCGUAAUGUUAUCUAAUUGGAUAAUUGUUAUUAUCAAUAAUAAUCCAAACGUUUUCGUAUUCAAUGUGUAUCUCAUCAAUAGGGAUUGCGAUAUAAUCGUUAUUGAUGCGUCUGUGUAAAUUUUGAGUAAUCAGUUUAAAACAGAAUCGGGGAUAAUUCCUACGAAUUGGUGCAUUUGGUUUCAUGAUUGUAACCUAUUACAAUCUAAACAUUUUCGUAUUCAAUGUUCAUCGUUAUCAUUAAUGAUCACGAUA